rnacentral:lncRNA from 1 species
GGGAAUACUGCUAAACAAUGUACGGCUACUUUGAGUGUGCAGACUGCGACGGCAGAUGGGAAAGUGCUAAGGUUUACUACAAAAAUCCAUACACAAAAGAGUAUUACGGACAAGAAUGCAAACGGUGUAACACAAUGUGCACCCCGUACAGGGUUGAGGAGACAACUUGCUCCAAAUGUGGGAUGAAAGCUCGAUCCUGUGGUUGUGACAAAACACGCCAUACCGAUCCGACUAAAGCACACAGGAGCGACUUCUGUGAGAAGUGCAAACGAGGAAGACCUUGUGCUUUUUAAAUUUUCCGACGACAUAAAAACACUAGAUAGCUGGCAUUCAAUAAUAUAUACGGAAAACAAGGGAGUGCUCAACUGAACCAUUUUUAUACGUAUUUUACCUAGAUCUAUAUUUUCUAUUAAUAGAGCUGAAUCUAAAUUGAAUUCAAAAGUGGAUGGUCUUUUUAUGCAAAGAUAUCUAUAAUCACUACAAUACGAUGCUUGAUAUUAAAUAUUUGGUUUGUAACCUGAUUAAUUCUGAUAUAUAUGUGCAAAUUAAUUACAAUCCAUUAAAACAUGUCAGUUCAGGAAUAAAUUGCAACGAAACGAAAUCUGACAACUUAUUAGUAGCCAGCAUUACAAUGACCUUGUUUAUUUGUUUACGACGUGUGUUUUAGCUGUUUUGUAUAUGCAUACCUACAGAUUUAUGACAAGUAAAAGUACAUUUUUGUAAAUCUAA